rnacentral:rRNA from 1 species
CCUACGGGAGGCAGCAGUGAGGAAUAUUGGUCAAUGGGCGGAAGCCUGAACCAGCCAAGUAGCGUGCAGGAUGACUGCCCUAUGGGUUGUAAACUUCUUUUAUAUGGGAAUAAACUGUUCCACGUGUGGGAUUUUGUAUGUACCAUAUGAAUAAGGAUCGGCUAACUCCGUGCCAGCAGCCGCGGUAAUACGGAGGAUCCGAGCGUUAUCCGGAUUUAUUGGGUUUAAAGGGAGCGUAGGUGGAUUGUUAAGUCAGUUGUGAAAGUUUGCGGCUCAACCGUAAGAUUGCAGUUGAAACUGGCAGUCUUGAGUACAGUAGAGGUGGGCGGAAUUCGUGGUGUAGCGGUGAAAUGCUUAGAUAUCACGAAGAACUCCGAUUGCGAAGGCAGCUCACUGGACUGCAACUGACACUGAGGCUCGAAAGUGUGGGUAUCAAACAGGAUUAGAUACCCCUGUAGUC